UCUCCCCUCGCUCUCUCCCUUGUCACUCUUUUUCUGGCAUAUCACUGGGGAAAACCCGAGAGGCCGGAGAUGUCAGGCCCAAGAGGAGUAAGGAGAAGGGACAAGGGCGAACGGGGGGCAGUUUUUUGGGGAAAAGUCUGUCCAGAGCAGAGGUGCGGUAGCGCCGCAUCCAGCGGGAAAGAAGCCCCAAGUCUCUGCUCAGGCCUCCCAGUGAGCUGCCACCUGCCACCUAACACAAGUGAAGACCCAAAGCUGACUUUUUUAGCAACUGAAGCCCCAUCCCAGCCACUGUGGAAGAAGAGGCCCCCUACCAAGCUCCCUCUUCUUUGAAGAAACACAACUGAGACCAAGUGAGAAGUAGCUACAGUUUAAUACAAACCUGCACCAGAACACAA